AACGAACGCUGGCGGCAGGCUUAACACAUGCAAGUCGAGCGCCCCGCAAGGGGCGCGGCAGACGGGUGAGUAACGCGUGGGAACGUACCUUUUGGUUCGGAACAACUCCGGGAAACUGGAGCUAAUACCGGAUAAGCCCUAACGGGGAAAGAUUUAUCGCCGAAAGAUCGGCCCGCGUCUGAUUAGCUAGUUGGUGAGGUAACGGCGCACAAAGGCGACGAUCAGUAGCUGGGCUGAGAGGAUGAUCAGCCACACUGGGAGUGAGACACGGCCCAGACUCCUACGGGAGGCGGGAGUGGGGGAUAUUGGACAAUGGGCGCAAGCCUGAUGCCGCCAGGCCGCGUGAGUGAUGAAGGCCUUAGGGUUGUAAAGCGCUUUUGUCCGGGAAGAUAAUGACUGUACCGGAAGAAUAAGCCCCGGCUAACUUCGUG
rnacentral:rRNA from 1 species